CUUGCUCAAAGUUGGGGAAUAAAAUUUGGCCCGUCCGGGGCUGGCGGGCUGGGCCGCAGGCGCCCUGCGAUUCCCCGCUUGGGGCUAUCUCACCCCUGCCCAGCCCCAGGCCGGCUCACCUGCCCUCGGACUCCAGCCGGACCUAUCCCCCUUGCACCCCUGGCAUGCAUGAUUGUGCUGCCCACCGUCUGCCCCGUGCCUUGCAGAAACUGGUGUGAGGAGGGGAAAGCUUGACUACUGGUGCCUAAGCUCCGUGGGCGCGGGGCCUUGGCCCAGCGGUGAGAACUCAGGUGUAGGAGGAAGAGGAAGGCGGAAAACCCGCCAACCCUGUCCCCGCCGUCUUUCCUCUAGGUCUCCCACCCACUCCUCUCUUUCUCUUCCCUGUUGUCUUUCCCUCUUUUUCCUGUCUCCGAGCCUCAGGCAGCUUUAGCCUAGUUCCCUGUAGAGCCCUAGCAGGGUGGGGAGACACUUCCUUCCUUCGUCCUCACUUUGCAGAACGGGACACCGAGCACCUGGAUCAUUUGCGCCAGCGUUGGCUCCCUUUGCUCUCCUCUGCCUUAGACUUUUCUGCGGACUGGUGCUGAGUGUUGCCCAACCGCGCCGAGAUCUGGGCGCCGGUCUGUUGAUCUGGACUCGGUUUGGCUCUUCCUCCUCUGUAAUCGCACGUCUUUAGGCUCCAGCAGGGCCCGGGGCCACGCUCCCCCACUCCUACCGCUAACUUGGGGAUCAGUGACUCUCCCAUUGCUGACUAGCAGGGCGAGGCAUUUUUAUUUUCUGCGAAACGCGAUGAGGGCAGGGAUGCUAUGAUAUUGAGGCUGGGGUCGCAGCUCAGCAGCUGCCGGCCAUAGGGCCAGGGGUCUCCGUGGUGAGCGAAGGCUCAUCUCCCCGCGGAACGCGACCGCAGGCUUGCGGGGUGGCCGCCCUGGAAUGUUGGCGCCGUCGUGUCCCUGUCCCCUUUUCGUCUCCAGCUGAGGUGCAGGUCUUGCUCAAGAAGGCGCUUCGACCUGAAAGCAGGCCUUUCAGGAGAAAUGGCUUGAGAAAGACAUGUUGAAGAGGAAAAAUACGUUAAGGCUUGCCAAUCAGCUGACUGCAGCAGCAGCAGCAGCAGCGAUGCACAGAUCUGAUCCGCGUUGGCAAUAUAUAUACUUGUCAUUCGGACAUGCAUCUCCAGGACACCAGCCUUAGCAGGAAGGGGAGCCAAUCAAGGGGAAACAAUUAUGCAAAUUUAAAAUGUAAACUCUCUGGAGCCCCUGCCACAACCUGGAGCUGAAGAAUUCACAUUUGGGCUGAUGGGCCUGGGGUAGGGAUGACCAACAGACCACAUGCUUCUUGUCUCUUCUACUCCUUGAUCCUGUGAUAGACAGGGCUAAGUGAUCAUCCACUCCCCCCACCCUCCAGCCUCCGAGUGGGCCACUUUUCAAGCACGGAAUUCCAGGAGGUGUAACACUGUGGACGAGUGGGCAACUGGCUCUUCAGGCUUGGAACCAACAGGGGGCAGCAGAGAGCAGAGAAGAAUUGGUUGGCUUGGGCUGACCCAGACCUAGGAAAACUUCCAAUCUUCUUCCCUCAAAACCGAAUCCUUGUGGACUCAUUCUUGAGACUAUUGUCCACACAAGUGGUGUGGUCCAAGGCCACAACAAGAAAGGCCUGAGGGAGUCUUUCUUUGGGGUUCAGGUGGAGAAAAGCCUGUGCUGGAUGCCAGGCUGCUCUGAGAACAGGAAGGAAGAUAAUAAUGCUAACAGCAACAGUUACAAUUACCCAGCCCCUGUAGGGUGCCAGGCCCUCUGCCAAGGUGCUUUCUUUUCAUUCUCUCAAAGACUACUUGAGGUGGGGAGACCCCCAGUUUACAGAUGAGAAAACAGGGUCCCAGAGUGGUUAAACACCUUGCCCAGGAUCACAUGACUAAGAGAGGGCCAAGCCACAUUUUAGACUCUUGCUUGUCCUGCCCUCUGUGUUAUGGUGCCAUUCCAGGAAGGAGGCAGAAAGGUGCGCCAGGAGUUAGAACAUCCUUGGGGAGUGUCCCGGACCCAAGGGAAGGCAAACGGUCCUUCUGGUACAGACUGCUGUCUCCUGAUGGCCAUGGGUCUCCUGACAGAUUUAGCCAAUUCACUGGCUCACAGGUCCAUGCACCAUCCUCAGCAGAGCCAGGGUAAGGUAGCUGGGCUCGAACAGCCCCAGAAAAAGGCAAAAAGAAAGAUAACAGAAACUUGUAUUGAACUUUCAAGUACUCACUGCGGAAGUCAUUGAUUUAUCUGCCUACCGUGAGAGUUAAUUAUGUCACUUUGGAAGGUCACAUUAGAAUGCCCCUCACCUCCUGCAGCCUCAGCUCCACCCUGGGCUCAGAGAUCAAUCCUGGCCUUAUUUAGGGAAGCACAUCCAAGCAUAUUUGAAACUUUUGGGAUGGGCUUGGGGAUAUUGGCACCAGGGGCAUCUUGCUGUCAGUACUGUCCUGAUUCUAAGAACUCCACUAAUGCCACAUUCCUCAAUCCAAGCCUGGAUCUAGGACUCAGGCUGCUGCCUCACUAAAUGCCUUACCUUUUGGGUCACUGCAGACCAGGGCCCUGCCUUCUUUAGCCGAUGUCUGUUUCCCUCAUCUGGCAGUAGGACAUUAGUCUACCAAAAGAGUCACAUGUUCAUAACCCAGCUUAGGUCCACGUUGUGAGCCAACUUCAUUUCUUAAUGUAAUCACUUUUUUGGUAUUGCUUUUUUUCUCUAAAAAGUAUGUAUGUUUUCUGAUCCUACAUAUAAUAUUUUCUGGGCCAGUUGCGGUGGCACACACCUGAGCUACUCAAGGAAGCUGAGGCGGGAGGAUCCCUUGAGCCCAGGAGUUUGAGGUUACGGUGAACUGUGACUGCGUCACUGUACUCCAGCCUAGACAGCUAACAAGACCCCAUCUCUUAAAAAAAUUAAGUAUAAAAAAAAUUGUUAGAAAAUACACUAAAGCAUCAAGAAGAAAAAAAUUUCUCCUAUCUUUCCGGAUUCGUUUUUCUCGGCUGCACUUAUUACUAUCUAACACCAUCCUUUACUUAGGUUUUCAUUGUUUGUCUCCUUCUCUAGAAUGGGAGCUUGACAAGAUGAGGGAUUUCAUGUUUUCUUCACUGUAAGUUCCUUAAUUCCAAGAACAAUACCUGGCACAUUUACAGAAUGAAUGAAUUAAUUCAUAAUGCCAUGACAUCAGAUAUAAUUUUAUUUAAUAUUAUAGAGGCAGCAUUUUUCAAUGUCAAUUAAAUUUUUUCAAAAGCAUCA